rnacentral:lncRNA from 1 species
CACAUCUAACCACUCUUCAGCUGAUAUCCACUUGCUGACAAAUGAAUCUCUCUGGCCCCUGGACUGUGCCCUGAAACACAGCUUAAAACAAAUGAACAGUAAUCCCAGAGAUCCUGAGAUGAGAAAAGGGUGUUUGACUUAUUCAAAGAAGACCAAGGAAGCCCAAAGACCAGAGAAGAGUGCAGGAAAGGGGCGGCGGUCUGAGAUGCAGUCAGAGCAGUGGCAAGCCCCCAGAGUCUGUGGCAAAGACUUCAGGUUUCAUCCUGAAGAGGAAGACAGGUCUUUGGAGAGUUUUGAUCAAGGAAGUGAGAUGAAAUAUCUUAGGCUUACAAAGAACUACUCUGACAUCUAAAUGGAAAAUGGACUGAUGAAGCAAAAGAAGCCACAAGGAAGCCAGUUCAGAGGCUAUUGAAAUGCUCCAGGAGGAAAUAAAUUUUUUCUGGGUUAGUUUGCUGUAAAGACCAAAUACUCUGCAGUGCCUAGGAGGCAGGAGCCUGGGAAUAAGUCCAGCUCCACAUGUUGGCCUGUGUGUGUUGUCCAGUGAGGGAACUGAGAGUCCAGCACCAAUGAAUGUGACACACAGAGGCCCAAGUCUUGGAAGAGGAAGCAGAAAUCAAAACUGCUCCAGAGCACAUCUGGAAAAAACAAGCAAAGCUCAUCUUCCUUUAUUUUGUGUUUUGUAACACUGAGCAAUUUGAUUAAAACAAAUCAGCAGGACAAAAAAUGAAGUUGCUUUUCUGUGGGGAGACAAAAUCAAUGAGAAGAAUCAAGGUUGAGUAAAUAUCUUAUGGAUACUCAGGGGAGAUAAUAUUCCAAUUUCCAGAAUUUAA